rnacentral:rRNA from 1 species
GCUUAACCGAAGAAGUGCAUCGGAAACUGGGUGACUUGAGUGCAGAAGAGGACAGUGGAACUCCAUGUGUAGCGGUGGAAUGCGUAGACAUAUGGAAGAACACCAGUGGCGAAGGCGGCUGUCUGGUCUGCAACUGACGCUGAGGCUCGAAAGCAUGGGUAGCGAACAGGAUUAGAUACCCUGGUAGUCCAUGCCGUAAACGAUGAGUGCUAGGUGUUGGAGGGUUUCCGCCCUUCAGUGCCGGAGCUAACGCAUUAAGCACUCCGCCUGGGGAGUACGACCGCAAGGUUGAAACUCAAAGGAAUUGACGGGGGCCCGCACAAGCGGUGGAGCAUGUGGUUUAAUUCGAAGCUACGCGAAGAACCUUACCAGGUCUUGACAUCUUGCGCUAACCUAAGAGAUUAGGCGUUCCCUUCGGGGACGCAAUGACAGGUGGUGCAUGGUCGUCGUCAGCUCGUGUCGUGAGAUGUUGGGUUAAGUCCCGCAACGAGCGCAACCCUUGUUACUAGUUGCCAGCAUUCAGUUGGGCACUCUAGUGAGACUGCCGGUGACAAACCGGAGGAAGGUGGGGAUGACGUCAGAUCAUCAUGCCCCUUAUGACCUGCGCUACACACGUGCUACAAUGGUCGGUACAACG